UUUCAAUGAUGGUCAUCAAAUGUUUACCGAAUUUAAUUUUUAGUGUAGACCAUUAUGAACCUGAAGGA